rnacentral:rRNA from 1 species
UACGGGAGGCAGUAGUGGGGAAUAUUGCACAAUGGGCGAAAGCCUGAUGCAGCCAUGCCGCGUGUGUGAAGAAGGCUCUAGGGUUGUAAAGCACUUUCAGUGGGGAGGAAAAGCUCAAAAUUAAUACUUUUGAGCCUUGACGUUACCUGCAGAAGAAGCACCGGCAAACUCCGUGCCAGCAGCCGCGGUAAUAC